UUCUGCAUGAUCUGCUCCGGCUGCAACUUCGGCCCGUUCA
rnacentral:tRNA from 1 species